AGAGUUUGAUCCUGGCUCAGGAUGAACGCUAGCUACAGGCUUAACACAUGCAAGUCGAGGGGAAACGAUAUUGGAAGCUUGCUUCCGAUAGGCGUCGACCGGCGCACGGGUGAGUAACGCGUAUCCAACCUGCCCAUCACUUGGGGAUAACCUUGCGAAAGUAAGACUAAUACCCAAUGACGUCUCUAGAAGACAUCUGAAAGGGAUUAAAGAUUUAUCGGUGAUGGAUGGGGAUGCGUCUGAUUAGCUUGUUGGCGGGGUAACGGCCCACCAAGGCGACGAUCAGUAGGGGUUCUGAGAGGAAGGUCCCCCACAUUGGAACUGAGACACGGUCCAAACUCCUACGGGAGGCAGCAGUGAGGAAUAUUGGUCAAUGGGCGAGAGCCUGAACCAGCCAAGUAGCGUGCAGGAUGACGGCCCUAUGGGUUGUAAACUGCUUUUAUAAGGGAAUAAAGUGAGAGUCGUGACUCUUUUUGCAUGUACCUUAUGAAUAAGGACCGGCUAAUUCCGUGCCAGCAGCCGCGGUAAUACGGAAGGUCCGGGCGUUAUCCGGAUUUAUUGGGUUUAAAGGGAGCGUAGGCCGGAGAUUAAGCGUGUUGUGAAAUGUAGACGCUCAACGUCUGCACUGCAGCGCGAACUGGUUUCCUUGAGUACGCACAAAGUGGGCGGAAUUCGUGGUGUAGCGGUGAAAUGCUUAGAUAUCACGAAGAACUCCGAUUGCGAAGGCAGCUCACUGGAGCGCAACUGACGCUGAAGCUCGAAAGUGCGGGUAUCGAACAGGAUUAGAUACCCUGGUAGUCCGCACGGUAAACGAUGGAUGCCCGCUGUUGGUCUGAAUAGGUCAGCGGCCAAGCGAAAGCAUUAAGCAUCCCACCUGGGGAGUACGCCGGCAACGGUGAAACUCAAAUGAAUUGACGG
rnacentral:rRNA from 1 species